CUCUCAAAUUCUCAUCCACUCUGCACAUUUCUAAUAGGUAAUAGAUUUUAACUGUUUUUUUUUUAAGACCUGAAGUAGCAAAUUCCUUUUAGAAACACUGAAAUAAUACAUACAUGUGGCCUAGAAGGGAUGAGAAUAUCCUCCUUCCACCUUUGGCCAAUCCAUCUCUCUGGAAUAAACGGUACAGAUUUUGAUGUGUGUAUUGUGGAAUCACUUAUACACAUACAAGAUUAUCUCGAUCUGUCUAGCUCUCUUUCUCUCUCUCUACAGGACUUCAUAUAGUAUUGUGCAAGGUGGAACUAACAUAGGGUUCCUCAACGAAAUAAUGGCAUCCAGGAUGAUAUCAAUCCCAGGCCAGCCUUCUAACUCUAUGUACUCAAAAUGUAGUGAAAAGCCUCUAUGUUACCCAUGGAAAACCAUCGUGCAAAUAGUAUUGCUGUCUCUCGAUGCCGUAUCAGAUGAACAUGAGAAAACAAACAAACACCAAAAGAACAGAUUCCUACCAUUCUAGAAAUGCAGACUUCAUACAGUACUGCGAAAGGUGGAACUAACAUAGAGUUCCUCAAUGAAAUAAUGGCAUCCAGGAUGAUAUCAAUCCCAGGCCAGCCUUCUAACUCUAUGUACUCAAAAUGUAGUGAAAAGCCUCUAUGUUACCCAUGGAAAACCAUCGUGCAAACAGUAUUGCUGUCUCUCGAUGCUGUAUCAGUCCACAGACAGCAAGGGCAGUACCACUGCAGUGGCAGUGGCAGAUGGGCUUUCAGUCGCCUCUGGGAGCUCCAUCCCACAGAAACACAGAGA
rnacentral:lncRNA from 1 species